rnacentral:sRNA from 1 species
GCUGGACACAGUGGUGCUUGCCUGUAAUCCCAGCCUCUUGGGAGGCUCAGGCAGGAGGAUCCUGAGUUUAAAGUCAGCCUCAGCAACAGUGAGACACUAAGCAACUCAGUGAGAACCUGUCUUU